UAGUGUUUGGUGAUCUCCCUCUGGAGAUUCCUUUUCACUAUGUACUGUCACUUGGUAACUGGCCCACGGUUUCAUCACCCUUGUCCAAAUCUUUUUGCCUUACACUUGCCCUUCUAUAGAUUUGUGGGAGUCAGUCAGGUCCACCCUAGGUUUGAGUUUGCCAUCCUGUUCGUGACCAAAAGGGUAUAAUUUCAGCAGCUCUGCGCCUCUGAAGUGGUCUAUUAUUAACUUAAUGGAUCGAUAAAAUAUGUGUAGGCCCCCCCCCUGCACUUGUUCUUUGUGGGAUUUGGGGGUAAGGUCGAAAGGUGAGGCCUCUGUUCAGUACCCUCUCUUGGGUUUUGGUCAGGGAGAAUGUCAGAGAAAGGUUGAAGAUUGUUUUCCCUAAUUGUAGGGCCUGCCUCUCUUGGCAUGGUGUCCCUAACAGUUUAAAUGCUUCAUCCACUCUCUGAUCAUGGCUCGGGCUGUGGGUUCUGUCCAGUGGACGUGGUCUGUGUCUACUUUAAACUGGCCAGUGGGAAUAUUGGGAAUGUGAUUCUUGGUCUGUAUGUAGUCAUUAAGUUGUCUGAGUGUGUCCUGCUCUGGAGCUGGGAGGGACUGGCUGAAGUUGAUCCUAGGGAUCCAUAUGCUGGCAUUAGGGAAUUUACGACUGGCCAUCUUGAUUAGUGUUUGGAGUUGUUUGAUGGCUGUCCGUGGUCUUUGUGUUUUAUUAUUAAUGCCAAACGAGAGAAUGACUUUUUGAGUUUCUGGGCAUUGGCCCAAUUUGCUAAGAAUGGACGUUCCGUGUAUGAAUUUUGCCCCUGGGUAGCUGUCCAAUUGUAUGUUGUUGUUGGGAAAUUUUGGGAUCCUGGAAAUGUUGGAAUCUCCAAUUAUUAAAACAGGCUUUCUGGGUUGUAGCUUCCAGGUAACAUUUUUCUGACCUGUAUUAGGGUGGUCGUUUCUUUCCCCCAGGGCUGGGACCCCGUGUGUUGGGGUGGAAUGUACUGGGGACAGGGAAGGGGUAGCAGUCUCGGAAAUGUAUACCUGUGGCACCGCGGUCGUGACGUCCCUUCCGGCAGUCUCCGUGGUCAGGUCGGUCUCGCCCCGUGGUCUCUGGGGGAGAGGGCCGUGGGUGCUCUGGCUUGAGGAGAGGCUCCGGUAGAUGAGGGCGGACGUGCGGGGGGAAUCGGAGCAUAUUAAGGCCUUGGCGACCGCCUCCUGUACCCGAUCCAUAGGUGGGCCCUCGCGGUAUUCAUCAUCCAGAUAUUCUAGACUAUUUUGCUUGUGGAGACCGCAUGCUGGAGUCUUCUCGACUGGGCAACGACCUGCCAGUUUCGCUAUAGCUUUAGCUUCCUCAGGAAAAGAGAUCUGUUUCUAUCUAGCCGGUAAUGGGUUAUAAAGGAUUAAGGCCUUGGCGACCGCCUCCUGUACCCGAUCCAUAGGUGGGCCCUCGCGGUAUUCAUCAUCCAGAUAUUCUAGACUAUUUUGCUUGUGGAGACCGCAUGCUGGAGUCUUCUCGACUGGGCAACGACCUGCCAGUUUCGCUAUAGCUUUAGCUUCCUCAGGAAAAGAGAUCUGUUUCUAUCUAGCCGGUAAUGGGUUAUAAAGGAUUAAGGCCUUGGCGACCGCCUCCUGUACCCGAUCCAUAGGUGGGCCCUCGCGGUAUUCAUCAUCCAGAUAUUCUAGACUAUUUUGCUUGUGGAGACCGCAUGCUGGAGUCUUCUCGACUGGGCAACGACCUGCCAGUUUCGCUAUAGCUUUAGCUUCCUCAGGAAAAGAGAUCUGUUUCUAUCUAGCCGGUAAUGGGUUAUAAAGGAUUAAGGCCUUGGCGACCGCCUCCUGUACCCGAUCCAUAGCUUGUGGAGACCGCAUGCUGGAGUCUUCUCGACUGGGCAACGACCUGCCAGUUUCGCUAUAGCUUUAGCUUCCUCAGGAAAAGAGAUCUGUUUCUAUCUAGCCGGUAAUGGGUUAUAAAGGAUUAAGGCCUUGGCGACCGCCUCCUGUACCCGAUCCAUAGGUGGGCCCUCGCGGUAUUCAUCAUCCAGAUAUUCUAGACUAUUUUGCUUGUGGAGACCGCAUGCUGGAGUCUUCUCGACUGGGCAACGACCUGCCAGUUUCGCUAUAGCUUUAGCUUCCUCAGGAAAAGAGAUCUGUUUCUAUCUAGCCGGUAAUGGGUUAUAAAGG